GCAUCCAAACUCUAAGAUGAAAUCAGAGAGUGCUUGAAAUACUUUAAGGAAAGUGAUUACCAUCACGAUCAAGCCUAUUUUUCUAACACCCUCAGCUUUAUUGCCCACCAGAGAGCAUGAAACCUGAUGCCCGACUCGUCGGGAUAAAGAAGAAAUAGAUCUAGGUGUUUUACAGUUUGGGCCUCCUUGUUUAUGGCCGUUUCUAUUUUGUUUUUUGAUGAAAUAUUAUGGUUGCAUGCGAACGGAAUUGGGUCAGAUUAUCCAGUUUAUGUUAACGAGUUUGUGUCCCUUUUCUGGCCCUCUGAUUCCGGUCCCUAGAUUUCACUGAAUUGUUUCCCAAAUUCAAAGUUCUGAUAUGCUUUUACUUACAAUUUUCAAUUCUAUUUUGUCUACUAGUUUCUAGCAUCUAAUUUUACUGACUUAUGGCUGUAGUCUACAAUAUUUUGCUGUUAAUUUUGCUGAUAAUACUCUGUAACUAUGUGUAAUCUGUUCAAUUUUCUUUGUUUUCUAGAUUUCUAGAUGUGUAGAUUCUAUCUGACUCAUAAUCAUAUACCCACAAUUUGUUUUUUUGUCUUUUAUCCUACUUUGUUAGCCUUGCCAGAACUACUGCGCUAUAUCAUACUUAGAAUCUCAGCUAGCAUUAUUAAUUGUACCCACACUGAAUUUGUGUCCGAGUUCAUUAUACCCCCAAUUUUUCAUUUUUUCAAUUUCCAAUUUAACAAUUUAAGAACAAUUUAUAUAAAGCUUGAGCUGAAGCAAUCCCUACAUACAUUACGAGUUAUUUUAAACUUACUGAGGGCUGUAUCUCACUUUUGCAAAAAUAGCUUCAGACUAGAACUAGGGAAGAUAGCUGACUUUUGGAUGUGAUUAGUGAAGGAUUUCGCUUGUGUACCAGACAUUUACCAUUUUAGAGUAGCAUUCAAUUUUGUGGAUUAGAACAAUAAAAAAUUACUUCUUUUAAGUCUCUUAUGUUAUUGUUAAGAUCAUCAUCUUUGUGUCUCUACUGAGUAGAGUUUUACAUGAUACAUAUAAGUGUGAACUAUUUUAGUAUGUUGUAUUAAACAUGUAAAGAAUAUUAGAAACUAUUUCUCAAUAAUAUAAUUUUCAUUCACAUCACACCAUUCACAUUCACCCAAUUCUCACAUUCAUUCACACUGUUCUGUGUUGCAGAAUAGUUUAGAAAACCUUUUCAGGCUCUUGCAUUUCUUGGGGCCUGAACCUUGGUGCAGCUGGGCAAUGUGGCACAAUCUGGUUCAAAGGCCUUAUGAGAUGAAUGAUCCAAGAGCCCUGAAAUUGGUCAAGGGCAUUUUGAAGACAUUGAUGUUAAGGAGAACGAAGGAAACCAAGGAUAAACAUGGAAGGUUGCGAGUCAUUUUCACUUCACAUGAACUGUGACUCUUUUGCAAUAUCUUCUAUGAUAAUACCAAUUUCGACAAUGUUUCUUCAGGCCUAUGCUUGUCCUGCCACCAAUUUCUCCUAAUUAAUUACUUUACUUUCUGAAUGGAGAAGCUUUCAUUUGAUACCUUUUGUUCCUUUCUCAUUUUCUUAUGUUCCUUAUCAGCCAACUCUGUUGUGCUCGAUCAUUGUGGUAGAAUCAAUCUAUGAUUCAAUGCAUCUCCAAUGUGAACCUGCCACAUAUAUUUCAUUUCACAUGAAAUUCCCUCUAGGAGACUAGGACUCCGUGUGUCUUUUGCUCCAUUAGAAACGGAAUGUAGCUUCAAAAUUGGUCAAUCUUGAAAUGUAACCUAUGCAGCCUUUGUUACAGAGCAGCUUCAUGCUGCAACAUUCAAGCCAUUUUCCUAAAAAACUCAAUUACUGAAUAUCCUAUUUUUAUAUUGCACUGCCGGUCCAAAACCGUUUUAUGGUACAUACACUUCUUCCUAUCAAUGCUAUACUUAAAAUACUCGAAGCUUGAUUUGAAUAGUUAGAGUUGGUGUGAACAGUGACCACUAUUUUUUGUCAUCUAAUAAGUCCAGAUUGCCCUUACAAAUUCUGGGAUUGCAGAUUAUCAGUAUUUUCAUUUUCUGUUUGUAUUUUUAAUAAUUCAGAAACAGUUAUCGAGUGUCAGUUGGUGAAACUUAACACGCAUUUAUGAUAUAUCUUCUUAAUUUAUGCCUGUUUCCAUUUUGUGCUUAUUCUAGAAAAUUGCCUCUACAGUGAAUUUAGUUGUUUUGUUAGCAUCCUUUUGUUUUCUGAAAUCUAAAACAUGAUGUGUGCAUGCCUGCCCGAGUUGUUUUCAAAAUUUCCAAGGAUUUCCCAUAUGUAUAGAUUGAAUGCUUUGAUUCCAUAUAAGCUUGAGAUACUACCUUUAGUUGUUUUGCUUUAAUCUUAAUUUUUAGUCUUAGAUAUGUUUUUAGAACCAGGCUCCUGCGAAAACGAGAAUUGCAUUCUAUUCACACAUAGAACCUUCAUUUCAGAUUUUAUUCUCUUUAGUAUUUUUUUCAGAAAUUAUCUGCAUAUUAUUUUGAAGAAACUUUGGGGGUACAUUGAGAUGGCUUAAGUAUCUCAGGCCCAACAUCAAGCAUGGAGAUUUCACAGAUGAGGAAGCCAGAAUCAUUUGCAGCCCCUAUGUUAACAUAGGAAGCAGGUGGUCAAUUAUAUGCUCAGUUGCCAGGCAGGACAGACAAUGAUAUCAAGAAUUACUGGAACACCAAGUGAUCAUGAGUAUAAUUUUUCCAAGAGUCCAAUAUGCGAUACUACUACAACCCUGUGAGAGAGAGCUUGCUAAUGUUUGGAAGUGAAGGAAGUUGCAGUUCCUCUGAUGGGAGCUUCCAUUCCAACAAGGAGAUCAAGCAAGAAUAAAUGGGUACUUAUAACCAGAGGCACAUGUCAAGUGGGUUUGAUCAUGAGUAUAAUAAUAGCAAUAGCUUAAUGGUUAGUUAUGGAAGCAUUAAUAAUGGUUGUGAAAAUGUUAACCACCAUUAUGCAGAAAAUUCAAGGGGAGGUGGUGCUUCUUUUGUUUUUGUGGUUUAGGACUAUUAGAGUUUUGUUUGACCUGAAAUGGGGCUCUAUUUAUUUUUGUCUUCAGAAGCUGUUAAUGUGAAAUGAUAUGAUGAAUAUAAGUUGUUGACUCUCAAUAUCUAUCUAUCUACUCUACUAUUACUUAAGGCAGAACCUCAUGUUACUAUUCCUAAGAGACCUCAAAUCCUGGCCAUUGAUUUCACUUUCUAAUCCAAGGGCUAAGAAACUGAAUUUGGCCAUUUGAUUUCAAUUCUCAAUCUCAACCGUCCAUCUUCUUACCAGCCUCCUUUUUCCUGAUUUAUUUUAUUUUUUUGCAUUCAUGUAAUGGGCUCCAUACUGCACAUGUGAGUUACCCAACACUAGACCCACUUCCUCUUGGUCAUGUCGCGUGUAUUUCAUCCAACACAACUCAGCUUUUCCUAUCCAUUGCCAUCAACUCAGCGUUCGUUGGUCUUUGCUCUGUUGGUGUGUGCAUUGUGAGUCGUAGAAGUUCCUAAAACUGGAGUUGAUCCUGUUUUUGAAUUCAUUGUUUUGAGUUAUAGAAAUGGCUGAAUUGUCUGUGUCUGUUUCAGUAGCUAUAAUCUGCUGUAUAAAUAGGGGAUGCUUGUGUGUGUUGCAAUGAGUAAUGUUUCUAGGAAGAUUUUGAAUAAGGGCAGCAACUUCUUUGAUUCUACAGGGCCAGGUAAAUACUAUUCUUGUCAUAUAUUUGAUUACUUCCUCAUUUCAUUGUCACAACUCAUAGUUUUUUCUUAUUACAACUUAUAACAAUUAAACAAAGAUGGACUUUGAAGGCGAAACCAACCCCCAAUCCUUCAUAUACAGUUGCUAUUGCACACUUUUUCCAAUCAUUUGAAAUCAUUUUUAAAUAUAUGCACAAGGUUGGUGUUUGUUUCAUUCAAAAAUUGAUAGAAGAGGACUUCUAUGCCAUGAGGAGGAAGAGACUACAAGCUGUGUGCAAGAAACAUGGCAUCCCUGCUAAAUUGAAGAACAAAUAAAUGAUUAAAGGAUGCAUGGUCAAAAGAGGAUACUCUGGAAUCAAGAGAUUUACCUGCAAACAGUAUUGGUCAUGUUUAUUAUGCAUGCUCUGUGGUUAAUUUCGAAGUAGUAUCAAAGCAGCAAAUUACUGCUUUUAUGCAGCUGCUAAUCAUACCAGAAGAGGGGAAGCAGAUGUUAUGGUGGUUGGUGGGGCUGAAGCUUCAAUUAUUAGUGUUGGAGGCUUUAUUGCUUGCAGGGCUUUGUCUCAGAGGAAUGAAGACCUCAAGAAGGCUUCAAGACCAUGGUUUUGUCCUGGAUGAAGGCUCUGGUGCGCUGGUAAUGGAGAGCUUGGAGAGUGCAACAAAAAGGAGAGCCAAAAUAAUUGCAAAAUAUAUGGAGGGUGCCAUAACGUGUGAUGCUGGUCACAUGACAAAUCCAAGGUCUGAUGGACUGAAGUUGGGGUUUCUCCUGUAGAGGAACUGAGAGGAAGUAAUAGCAAGCAACCAGGAUCAAAAUUGGCACAUUCCUCUAAAACAAGUUCAGAUUCUCAUGUUCAUGUAAAAGCUGAUGAAUCCUGCUUUGUUCAGGUGACCUAUAUCAAUGCUCAUGCCACUUCAACACUAGCAGGUGACUUGGCUGAGGUUAAUGCAAUCAAACAAGUUUGUAUGGACACAUCAUAAUCGAAAAUGAAUGCCACUAAGUUAAGAAAUUUGUUACUUUUUUAAAUAUUUCAGAAUAGCAUCCUCUUUUUGACCUUUAAUCUUGUGAUUACAUCCUGGCUUCAGUCAAUGAUUGGUCAUGGUCUUGAGGCUUCUGGUGGUUUGUAAGCUAGGAAAUAACAACUGGGUGGUUGCAUCAAACUAUUAAUCAAGAUAACUUGACGGAUGAUGUUACAAUUGACACAGUCUCUAACGUCAAGAAGCAGCCUGAAGUUAAUGUUGCUUUCUCAAAUUCAUUUGGGUUUGGUGGACCAAAUUCAGCUAUCUCCAACUAUAUCCAUGGAAAACCCCUUUCUUUUAUAUAUCUAAUUAAUGUUACUUUUAUCUUUUGACUUUCUUUUUAUAAAUUUUUGUUUUUUGGCUCUGUUUUUAUGCUCCUUGGGCUCUGCCAAUUUUCUCAAUUCAGAAGUCUUCCUCAAGGGCUGCCAAUUUUCUUGAUUGCUUUAAUGAUGUGCAGUUAUGGAUAAAGGAAAUUUAUUCAUUCUCUUAUAUCUGAAAUCAUUCAUUUGAAUGCAAAGUUAUGAAUGAAAGAGAUGCUGUUCUCCCAUUUCUCAUCUCCCCAAUUUGUUAAUUUUAGUUUAACUUGACGUUUUUUUAUUGACUCUCUUCUUCUCUUUGGUUGCAGUUCUUGCUCAAGAAUGAUUAAUGGUGUCUAUUAUCAAAUUCCAAAAGUUAUAAGUGGUGGAUGGCUAUGUGGAUUAUGUCAUGGCGUUUGGAGGAUCCAAGGAUCUCUGGCUGUUUCUAGAGGAAUUGGAGAUGGGCACAUGAAACAAUGGGUGAUAGCAGAACAUGAGACCAGAGUUCUUCUUCUUAGAAUUGAGGCUCGACAUGACUUUUUAAUCUUAGAUUCGGAUGCAUUAUGGGGAAAGGUGCAGGACUUGAUCAAUUCAUUGUACUAACAUCAAUCGGUAGUUUCCUUUUGAAAGUUAAGAACAUGCUUUAUGCAACGAGGUUUUCAUACAAUAUUUUUAGUGGUGGCAGCAAAAAAUAAAAUAUUGCUUUUUGGAAGGGCCCCGCACACUAUUCAUACGAGACAAUUUUUUAUCAAUCAGCAAAAAAUAAAAUAUUGUUUUUUUUUAUGUAUGAUGAUUGAUAAAAAAAAUAGUUUAAUUUUGAUGUA